UCAGACGAUGCGUCAUGCAUAUCAAUAAGCGGAGGAAAAGAAACUAACAAGGAUUCCCCUAGUAACGGCGAGUGAAGCGGGAAGAGCUCAAAUUUGAAAUCUUAAAGGGUUUCCCUUUACGAAUUGUAGUUUAAAGAAGUGUUUUCUGUUGAGGUUUUGGUAAAAGUUCUUUGGAAUAGGACAUCAUAGAGGGUGAGAAUCCCGUAUUUGACCUUUACUUUCAACUUUGUGAUACACUUUCAAAGAGUCGGAUUGUUUGGGAAUGCAGUCCAAAAUGGGUGGUAAAUUUCAUCUAAAGCUAAAUAUUGGCGAGAGACCGAUAGCGAACAAGUACCGUGAGGGAAAGAUGAAAAGAACUUUGAAAAGAGAGUUAAACAGUACGUGAAAUUGUCAAAAGGGAAGCGUUUGACACCAGUGUUGUUUUUCUGAAAAUCAAUUAAAGAACUGUUUAUGCUAAGCUGUUUAGACUUUAUCAGCUAUCUGUUUAGUUUUGAGCUUUUCUUUAAUGCACUUUUCAGUUAACAAGUCAACAUCAAUUUCUUUUGCUGUAAAAAAGCUUGAGGAAGGUGGCUUGAGAUUCGUCUUAGGGUUUAUAGCCUCUUGCCUAUGCAGUCGGAGAGAUUGAGGUCUGCAGCGUAGAUCCUUCGGGGCUAAAUGCAUUUGUGCUAAGUUAUAGCAUUUUAUAGACAACUUGUUGACUAUGAUUUGUCUUGUAGCUUACUCGCUUAUGUUAUUUUACCUACGCUUAGGAUGUUGACACACGCGCGUGCUCG
rnacentral:rRNA from 1 species